rnacentral:tRNA from 1 species
AGAAAAAUGUCCGAUUUAGGUGAAGGGUUGAAAACUCUUUUAUGGAUUUUCCUUUUUCUA